CUGAAACCUUUUCUUAUCUUGUUUUACAGGGGACGUUAGGCCUCAAUACUCAUUGCCUUUGAACAGUUGGAUUUUCAUCUAAAGAUCAAUCAGUAUAAAACUGAGGCUUUUAUCUUUCUAAGGGAAAGUGACCUCAAUCAGAAGAUUUCAGUGAAGAUCCUUUGUUCACUUUAAUCGGAAAAACUGACCUCGAUCUGAGGAGAUUUGAGUCAAGAACCUUUGUUUACUUUAGUCGCAGACGUUAGACCUCACUACUCAUUGCCUUUGAACAGUUGAACAGAUUUUCUUCUUCCCAUUGCCAGGGAAAACUGAGUUCGAUCAGGAGAUUUGAGUCAAGAGUCUUUGCUUGUUUUAAUCGGUGAGUUUAUUUAGAGCUGAUAUGCUCAGUUUCACUUUCCCGUACAAUGCGUGAAAUGCGUAACACCGUAACGAACCCCCUCAAAAGACAUUGCAGCUGUAACCUCCAUGUGAAGAACAGCAUCAUGCUCUAACAUGAUGACAUUACAAGCCAUUUGUUACUCUUGUACCCU